UUUGCUAGCAAGCGAAUUGAGUAUCACCUAAUUAAUUGGUGGCAGGGAACAUCGGUGAGAAUCCGAGACUGACGCGCAGCGGUGAUGGAGACGAUUCGGCACGAAGCCACUGGGAAACCGGGAAGGCGCCGAAAUUGAUAGAUCCUGAGUCCGAAAACCUUUCAAUUCGUUCUUGGUUAA
rnacentral:ncRNA from 2 species